rnacentral:sRNA from 1 species
CGCUAUCGGGGAGCUAUUGCACGCAAGAGAAUUCGCCUAGGCAGAAAAUAUGUUAUUUCCCACAAAGAAGAGAUUCCACUUUGCAUACACUGGGAUAUCAGCAAGCAGAUAAAAAUAUAUACUCUGGAAGAGCAUGAUGUUUUAUCUGUUUGGGUUGAAAAGCACGUGGGAAGUCCAGCACAUUUGGCUUAUCAUCUCUUGUCUGACUUUACAAAGCGACCUUUGUGGGACCCCCAUUUUGUGUCCUGUGAAGUCAUAGACUGGGUGAGUGAAGACGAUCAGCUGUAUCACAUCACCUGUCCUAUACUGAAUGAUGACAAACCCAAAGACUUGGUAGUACUCGUAUCACGAAGAAAACCCCUCAAAGAUGGUAACACUUACACAGUGGCAGUGAAGUCGGUCAUUUUGCCAUCGGUCCCCCCGUCUCCACAGUACAUCAGAAGUGAAAUCAUAUGUGCCGGAUUUCUCAUCCAUGCUAUUGACAGCAAUUCAUGCAUCGUAUCUUACUUUAACCAUAUGUCUGCAAGCAUCCUUCCUUACUUUGCUGGAAAUCUUGGUGGCUGGUCGAAAUCCAUUGAAGAAACAGCAGCCUCUUGUAUACAGUUCUUAGAGAAUCCUCCUGAUGAUGGGUUUGUAAGCACAUUUUAAAGGUCAACUUUCAAUUACUGGUAAUUUAAUUU